AUUGUUUAUACAUUUAUAGUUGUCACUUGGAAAACUUCUAUCGUAUACAUUAAUUUUUUCGAUACUAUUUACAGUGAAGUCGAAGGGGGGUUUAAAUUGGAAAUAGAUUUCCGCAUAAAUCUACUUUAUAAUGAUAAUAAUUUAUAUGUACAGAGACCAAAAAUGAUAUGUAAUGAACCACAUACUUUUUCUAUAUUACUAAUAUGUGUGAAAUUACGUUCAUUUUCAAUUAUCAAACUGUUAUUUAUCGUAUAUUUAUAUAUACAUGUACGAUGGCCCAAAAAGCUAUGGAAUAAAACACAUACUUUUUAAUUUUCUAUUACUAGUAUGUGUGAAACUUUCAUUUUCUAUAAUCAAAUAUUUUUUCUUCAAAUUAAAGAUAGCUAUAAAGCUUGUAAUAAAGGCGACACAAGAAGAUAAAAAGAAAAAUUAUAAUGAAGCCUUAAAGCUGUACGAUCAUGGAGUAGAGUAUUUCCUUCAUUCAAUCAAACAUGAAGCACAGAGUGAUAAAGCAAAAGAGAGUAUAAGAGCAAAGUGUAUCCAAUACCUAGAGAGAGCUGAAAAGCUGGGAAAAUACUUAGAGAACAAACUUUCUACAACUACAGAUAGAUGCAUUAAGAUCAACAAAAAUAUAUAAUAAGGCUGAAAUCGAGAAAUUCCAAGAAGAAACAAAGAAAUUAAAAGAGGAGGUGAACUUAUUAAAAGAUGAAAGAGACUUGUUCAAGGUUCAAAGUGACUAUUACCAGUUAAAACUUAAGAAGUUGACAGUUGAAAUAGGUGAAAAGCGAUAAUUUUAAUUUCAUAUACAUGUGAUACUCAGAAAGCAUUGGUUUCAUGUCCGAUCAUGUGUCUGCGUUGUGUCCAUCACACGUUUAAAAAUGAUCCUGGACACACUAAAUUAUUCACGGCUACGUGCGGUAUUUUUCUGUCUGACCCAUGUUUUUACAUAAUUUGGAGUUCUUGCUUUUUUUAAUUAUUCACACUCUGGCUCAUUUUGUUCAACGGCAGAAUUCAAAAGUAUUAAGGGAUCAAUUUGAUACAACAUAGAUGGACAGAUCUCAUUUAGGAAAAGUGCAGUCACUAAGAACAAUAAAUCCCUUUUGCAUUAUUUUGGAGUUAAAUCCUCAGAAAUUUCCCAUAAUCAAUUGCCUCUGUUAUUUUCCAAAAUCAGUUAUUUCCCGAGGGCAAAGUGAAAAAGUGUAAAUAAGCAUCAACUUCACAUUAUUUUUUUGUCCGGAGCAUAACUGAAAAAAUUGUUCGAGAUAAAACAUUAAAACUUCUUAGAUUGAUAAUUACCUUAAAGUUAAAAUCAAUUACUAUACUUUGUAUUUAAUGCCCCCAGUACUUGUCAAUGCAAAAUGUUUUCCCACAGCAACUCUGAAUGGAGAAAUUUAGUGCCCAAGAUCUAUAACCCUGUUUUGCCUAGUUCUGGAGUCAUUGUCUUUUUUUUAUAGUUUUGCUUUUUACUUCUUUAUCUCAAGUUUGUGUAAGAAGACAACUAAGUAUAUUCAACAGAUCAUAUGAUCAUUGCUUUCUAAAAUAUCUUGCAGUUUUCAUAAUAAUUCUCUAAAAUAGUUUAUAAUGAAAUGAAUUCCAUUCAUUGUGGAAUCAAAAAUUGCACACAUAUCUUCAUUCAAGCAUUUUCUUUGUGAUUUAACAAUAUUUGAGCCGUGUCAUGAC